rnacentral:tmRNA from 1 species
CCCUUUGCAUUGCCGCCCGCGCCCCCCUAUAUUCCCGGUGCCGGCGCAAGCCGGCUAUGGCGAUAAAUGGGCGACGCAAUAAACCUUUCGGACCCGGGGGCGGUACCCGGCGCCUCCACCCGAGCCCGCGGCCUGAUCGACAUGAUCAGACAUUCGGCCGCGGGCUCCGGCGGGGGCGAAAUAGCUUCGACGAGGGCGUAAAGGUCUUUCUUUCGCUCGGCAUGGUUCCGCCGUUAUCGGGCCGAAACUAUAGUUGCCAAUGACAACUAUGCUCCGGUUGCUGUCGCCGCGUAAUGCGGUGCUGGUAAUCGAAAUCAAGUCCUGAGGGGUAGCACUUUCAGGCGGGGUUCGGAGGUACCUGGCAACAGAAACCUCCACU